AUGCAUGGAAAUGCCAAAGACUGGGAACAUAAUUCCAAUAGUCUCAGCAGCACGCUGGGAGCAGGAGGAUCCCCAAGUCCCAGUGGGCUACAAACCUCCUGGGUCAGACUUUCUAUGUGUUUGCUUGGGUCACUGGAAGUGGCCAGGGAGACUUCUAUGAAUGUGUCAGAUAUCUUGGUGCAUCAAUUUAGGCUCUGUGGCAAAGUCCAGAAGAUGAGGGAAAUUGAAAUAAUUGUGGAUACUUGGUUCUACACUUAUGGUUUUGACACGGGGGAAACAUUUGAUGUUGUUUUUUCUGCUUCAAGGAUUCCAAUGAUGUAUCUUUCUCUGUUUCAGCCACCAUGGGUUACUGACAGACCAAAAUAUCCUGACAACUCCCGAAUGCCGGAAGGAGAGAAUGGGUUUAUACAUCUGAGGACCUUGACUAUUCUUGCCUCUCAGAAUUAUCUGCGUUUAUGUUUACAUAAACCACUGACUGGGAUCAUCAUAAGUGAAUCAUCAUGUUCCCCAAACCAGAAACUGCCCUGGCACACAGGAAGCUUAUGUUAGUAUCUUAGUGUGAUAUAUAUGUAUACACAUACUGUACACAUGAACAUGUAUCUAUGUGAUGUUUCCAGAGAUAUGUGUUCAUAUCCAAAGACAGUUGUCUUUGAAAGUAUACACAAGAAACUCUGAUAAACUUCUGGAAAAUGGAGGUAGGAGAGUGGAGUGAAAGAGAGC
rnacentral:lncRNA from 1 species